rnacentral:rRNA from 1 species
UACGAAGGGGGCUAGCGUUGUUCGGAUUUACUGGGCGUAAAGCGCACGUAGGCGGAUCUUUAAGUCAGAGGUGAAAUCCCAAGGCUCAACCUUGGAACUGCCUUUGAUACUGGGGAUCUUGAGUCCGGGAGAGGUGAGUGGAACUGCGAGUGUAGAGGUGAAAUUCGUAGAUAUUCGCAAGAACACCAGUGGCGAAGGCGGCUCACUGGCCCGGUACUGACGCUGAGACGCGAAAGCGUGGGGAGCAAACAGG